rnacentral:rRNA from 1 species
UACGUAGGCAGCGAGCGUUGUUCGGAGUUACUGGGCGUAAAGGGUGUGUAGGCGGUUGUUUAAGUUUGGUGUGAAAUCUCCCGGCUCAACUGGGAGGGUGCGCCGAAUACUGAAUGACUUCGAGUGCGGGAGAGGAGAGUGGAAUUCCUGGUGUAGCGGUGAAAUGCGUAGAUAUCAGGAGGAACACCGGUGGUGUAGACGGCUCUCUGGACCGUAACUGACGCUGAGACACGAAAGCGUGGGGAGCAAACAGG